UAUGCUUGUCUCAAAGAGUAAGCCAUGCACGUGUAAAAAAAAACUCUUUUGUACUGUGAAGCUGAGAAUGGGUCAUUAAAUCAGUUAUAGUUUCUUUGAUGGUACCCUGCUACUCGGAUAACCGUAGUAAUUCUAGAGAUAAUACGUGCACAAACUCCCGACUGGCCCCCUUCGCGGGGGUGUGGAAGGGACGUAUUUAUUGGAUAAAAGGCAGAUGCGGGCUUGCCCGGUGUUGCGGUGAAUCAUGAUAACUUGUCGAAUCGCACGGCCCUUUGCGCUGGCGAUGUUUCAUUCAAAUUUCUGCCCUAUCAACUUUCGAUGGUAGGAUAGAGGCCUCCCCUGUUGUAAAAGGGGUGACGGAGAAUAUGUUCGAUCCGGGGAGGGGGC
rnacentral:rRNA from 1 species